rnacentral:rRNA from 1 species
GAUGAACGCUGGCGGCGUGCCUAAUACAUGCAAGUCGAGCGAACAGACGAGGAGCUUGCUCCUCUGACGUUAGCGGCGGACGGGUGAGUAACACGUGGAUAACCUACCUAUAAGACUGGGAUAACUUCGGGAAACCGGAGCUAAUACCGGAUAACAUGUUGAACCGCAUGGUUCAACAGUGAAAGACGGUCUUGCUGUCACUUAUAGAUGGAUCCGCGCCGCAUUAGCUAGUUGGUAAGGUAACGGCUUACCAAGGCAACGAUGCGUAGCCGACCUGAGAGGGUGAUCGGCCACACUGGAACUGAGACACGCUCCAGACUCCUACGGGAGGCAGCAGUCGGGAAUCUUCCGCAAUGGGCGAAAGCCUGACGGAGCAACGCCGCGUGAGUGAAGAAGGUCUUCGGAUCGUAAAACUCUGUUAUUAGGGAAGAACAAAUGUGUAAGUAACUAUGCACGUCUUGACGGUACCUAAUCAGAAAGCCACGGCUAACUACGUG